AUAAAACCGUAUUUACAAACACAGGCGGGAAGCUGGAUUUAGCCCACUGGCUAUAGUUUCCUGAUCUUUGGCUGAGGAUUUGGAAUGGAACCCUAUGCUCCAGGACAGGGGUGAUGAGUGGCUUACACUGGGCUUAUACUCUCCUUUUCUUUCUUACUCUCUUCCUUAGAGGGAAGGUCUCAGAACUUCCUCCAGUCUUCUAGCUAGCUUUCUGGAUAUAUUCUGCAUUUUGUUGUCCAGACACCUGCCCUGGGUUAUUCUAAGAGGACCCAUCCCUACCAGAGCAGAAAGAAAUAGGCUCCAAUCAUCUGGUCUCUCCCACACAUCUGCUUGACCCUGACAUCCCACCAGUCUGACGUCUCAUGAAGAUGGUCUUAUUAACUUGGUCUGCAUUAGAAUCGCAGGGGCUACUUUUUUGAAAUGCAGAGUUCUGGGCCCCCCAGGAUCUACCACCCCAGACUCUCUGGGGACAAAGCCCAGAAGAUCCGCACUUUAACAAACUCCUUGGACAAUGUGUAAGUAGCAGGUGUUUGAGACGCUGCACUCAAGGAAGGCUGGGGAAGUCAUUUGGUCUACAGCUGUGCACCUCGCAGAACCUGGCACUAACCAGGGAUCGAACGGAUGCUUGAAAAUAAAUGGCACCUGUGGAGAAAGUGCUCUGUCCCUGACUCUGUCAUCGGAGCCCGCAUUCCCCACCGCCAGCUCGAGGACCCUGGGCUCCGAGCUCUGCCUGCAGGAGAAGGGCUCUCUCUCUCUCUUAGCCAGGGGAUUCCUCUUCUGCUCCGGGAAGAGAAAAUGGGUCUGAGAAGGAACCAUCAUCCUACAAGGCAGAAGACCACUCCCAAACCAGCUGACCUUGGCUGUGUGCGGGUUGGACCUUUGCUACGUGACGCCCAAGGCAGGGCCUCUACCCAGCCCCACCUGCUGUCUGGGCCACAGCAUGACUUUCCGGGGCCCUGAGCUCCUUCGUCCUCCUGGACCCUUUCCUCCCUAAAA